UACGUAGGUCCCGAGCGUUGUCCGGAUUUAUUGGGCGUAAACCGAGCGCAGGUGGUUUAUUAAGUCUGGUGUAAAAGGCAGAGGCUCAACCAUUGUAUGCAUUGGAAACUGGUAGACUUGAGUGCAGGAGAGGAGAGUGGAAUUCCAUGUGUAGCGGUGAAAUGCGUAGAUAUAUGGAGGAACACCGGUGGCGAAAGCGGCUCUCUGGCCUGUAACUGACACUGAGGCUCGAAAGCGUGGGGAGCAAACAGG
rnacentral:rRNA from 1 species